CGGGGCGGCGCCGGCCCAGCGGGGCUGAGGUGGCGGCGGGGGUGGUGGGGGGAACGCUGCGCUGAGGGAAACCUGCCUGACAGCUGCAGCCAGGACAUUGUUCUGAACUUUAGCUUCUUGUGCUCAAGCGACAAGAACAACUUCCGCAAAGAAACUUCUCCCCUGAAGUAAGGCAACUCCUGACAAUCACGUGCAGCUACAGCCUGAAAUGGCAGCAAAUGAUUACCCUAUGAUGUCCUUUGACAUUUGUAUCACAAAAUGUAAGUUAACUAGCCUAACCACAGUACAUGUUUGACCACUUGUGUUUUACCUGUUCAAGUUACUUGCCUCAGAAAGUAGGUUUUGCAAGACCUUUAAGUUUACCACUAUUAAACAAAAAAGCAAACCAAGAUUUUUCUAUAUGAAACACUUCCAUGGGCAUUGGGAUACAGUAAUUAAAUACUCUUUAUGUUGGUAGCUUUCAGUGAUAGCUUAAUCUCCAAAACAGAACAAUUACCAAUACACUUUUACAAAAUGAUUUAAAUAUUUUUGUAUAUAAAUUUUCACUUCAAGUUCAAUGUCAACUUCCAUUUGUAGCUCUGGCAGGGAUCUGAGAGUAUAUUUAAAGCUUUUAUUUGGUGCACACUGGCUUUGGACCUAGGCUCAUUACACAGCUGCAGUAAAAAAAAAAUAUUUUUUUUUUUUAAACUUCAAGUGUGUCUCAAACCAUAAACAAAUCUUCAAACACAAUAUAAUAUUUUUGUCUUUGGAAAAAUAGUUUCUUUUCCGAUUUUAACAUUGAAAUAUUCAAUGUUGCCUUGAAACAUUGUUUGAACUGCUGUCAUACAAACUCACUUCAGAAACACACUAGAUUUUAGGGGCCUAACAUUCAGUUAAUGUAAACAAGAGCCAAAAGUCUAAACAUAAACCAAAAAAUCUGAAAUAACCUUCCUUGCCCUUCUCCUCCCACACCAUUCACAAACUAAAAUUAGAACUAUUCCUCUUACUGAAGAAAAACAAAGCUUGCCAUCUACCUAAGUCUACGUUUGCUGCUGACUCAGCCACUGACUUUUUAAGAUGUCUCUCAUAUAGGGCCCACUCCUGCCCACUAUUUUUUAAAUUAGAAUACUGACUUAUUAAAAGCUUUAACAAAUUCAGCCAUCUUGUCUCGGUUAAGCUUACCUUUAGUCCUAUUAGCCAUAAUCCAAUCCAAGCACUGGAUUCUACGCUUCAUAAGUAUUUGUUCGUUUCACAAUGAACAGUUGUUUCAUUGCUACUUUAAGCAUUAAGUUGAACAUUGAGAUGUUCUGUCUGUAAUCACUGGAUGCACUUAGAAAGAAUUUCCCUGCAAAUCAUGAUCAGUAUUGUGAGGUUUUAUAUCUAGCAGCAAAAAAAAAAAAAAAAAAA